UGGCUCAGGAUGAACGCUGGCGGCGUGCUUAACACAUGCAAGUCGAACGCUGAAGCUCCCAGCUUGCUGGGGGUGGAUGAGUGGCGAACGGGUGAGUAUCACGUGAGUAACCUGCCCUUGACUCUGGGAUAAGCCCGGGAAACUGGGUCUAAUACUGGAUAGGACUGGCCAUCGCAUGGUGGUUGGUUGAAAGCUUUUGCGGUUUUGGAUGGACUCGCGGCCUAUCAGCUUGUUGGUGGGGUAAUGGCCUACCAAGGCUUUGACGGGUAGCCGGCCUGAGAGGGUGACCGGCCACACUGGGACUGAGACACGGCCCAGACUCCUACGGGAGGCAGCAGUGGGGGAUACUGCACAAUGGGCGCAAGCCUUGAUGCAGCGACGCCGCGUGAGGGAUGACGGCCUUCGGGUUGUAAACCUCUUUCAGUUGGGAAGAAGCCUUUCGGGGUGACGGUACCUUCGGAAGAAGCACCGGCUAACUACGUGCCAGCCGCUGC
rnacentral:rRNA from 1 species